CCUACGGGAUGCAGCAGUGAGGAAUAUUGGUCAAUGGACGAGAGUCUGAACCAGCCAAGUAGCGUGAAGGAUGACUGCCCUAUGGGUUGUAAACUUCUUUUAUAUGGGAAUAAAAUGUUCCACGUGUGGGAUUUUGUAUGUACCAUAUGAAUAAGGAUCGGCUCACUCCGUGCCAGCAGCCGCGGUAAUACGGAGGAUCCGAGCGUUAUCCGGAUUUAUUGGGUUUAAAGGGAGCGUAGGUGGAUUGUUAAGUCAGUUGUGAAAGUUUGCGGCUCAACCGUAAAAUUGCAGUUGAAACUGGCAGUCUUGAGUACAGUAGAGGUGGGCGGAAUUCGUGGUGUAGCGGUGAAAUGCUUAGAUAUCACGAAGAACUCCGAUUGCGAAGGCAGUUCACUGGACUGCAACUGACACUGAGGCUCGAAAGUGUGGGUAUCAAACAGGAUUAGAUACCCCAGUAGUC
rnacentral:rRNA from 1 species